rnacentral:rRNA from 1 species
AGAGGUCAGCCUGCCCAGUGAAUUUUUAACGGCCACGGUAUCCUAACCGUGCGAAGGUAGCAUAAUCACUUGUUCUUUAAAUGGGGACCUGUAUCAACGGCAUCACGAGGGUUUUACUGUCUCCUCCUUUUAAUCAGUGAAAUUGAUCUUCCCGUGAAGAAGCGGGAAUACACAUAUAAGACGAGAAGACCCCAUGGAGCUUCAAACCAAAUAGCAACUUAACCACACAUCUCCCGAUAGUUACACCACUCUGCUAUGAGGUUUUUGGUUGGGGUGACUGCGGAGUAAAACAUAACCUCCACGACGAAAAGGCUUCAAUCUUUAUUUAAGAGCUACAGCUCUAGAAAUUAGCAUACUAAUGUACACUGAUCCGAUAUUCAUAAUCGAUCAACGGACCAAGUUACCC